ACCCGCUGAACUUAAGCAUAUCAAUAAGCGGAGGAAAAGAAACUAACAAGGAUUCCCCUAGUAACGGCGAGUGAAGCGGGAAGAGCUCAAAUUUGUAAUCUGGCACUUUCAGUGUCCGAGUUGUAAUCUCGAGAAGUGUUUUCCGCGCCGGACCGCAUACAAGUCUGUUGGAAUACAGCGUCAUAGUGGUGAGAACCCCGUAACUGAUGCGGAUGCCCGGUGCUUUGUGAUACACUUUCGAAGAGUCGAGUUGUUUGGGAAUGCAGCUCAAAUUGGGUGGUAAAUUCCAUCUAAAGCUAAAUAUUGGCGAGAGACCGAUAGCGAACAAGUACCGUGAGGGAAAGAUGAAAAGCACUUUGGAAAGAGAGUUAACAGUACGUGAAAUUGUUGGAAGGGAAACGCUUGAAGUCAGACUUGCUAUUUGGAAUUCAGCCGCAAGGUGUACUUUUCAAUUCGCAGGCCAGCAUCAGUUUUUGGGGGUGGAAAAGGGUAUUGAGAAGGUAGCAGUCUCGGCUGUGUUAUAGCUCUUUACUGGAUUCAUCCUUGGGGACUGAGGAACGCAGCACGCUUUUUGCAAGGCUUUCGAGCUUUUCGUGCUUAGGAUGCUGGUGGAAUGGCUUUAAACGACCCGUCUUGAAACACGG
rnacentral:rRNA from 1 species